UACGGGGGGGGGUAAGCGUUGUUCGGAAUUACUGGGCGUAAAGGGCUCGUAGGCGGCCAACUAAGUCAUACGUGAAAUCCCUCAGCUUAACUGGGGGAACUGCGUGUGAUACUGGAUGGCUUGGAUUUGGGAGAGGGAUGCGGAAUUCCAGGUGUAGCGGUGAAAUGCGUAGAUAUCUGGAGGAACACCGGUGGCGAAGGCGGCAUCCUGGACCAAUAUUGACGCUGAGGAGCGAAAGCCAGGGGAGCAAAGCGGG
rnacentral:rRNA from 1 species